AUCUUGCACAAUGGGGGCAACCCUGAUGCAGCGACGCCGCGUGAGCGAUGAAGCCCUUCGGGGCGUAAAGCUCUUUCGACCGGAACGAUAAUGACGGUACCGGGAGAAGAAGCUGCGGCUAACUACGUGCCAGCAGCCGCGGUAAUACGUAGGCAGCAAGCGUUGUUCGGAGUUACUGGGCGUAAAGAGUGCGUAGGCGGUUUUCUAAGUUCGGUGUGAGAUCUCCCGGCUUAACUGGGAGGGUGCGCCGAAGACUGGGAAGCUGGAGUGUGGGAAAGGCAGGCGGAAUUCCUGGUGUAGCGGUGAAAUGCGUAGAUAUCAGGAGGAACACCGGCGGUGUAGACGGCUUGCUAGACCAUAACUGACGCUGAGGCACGAAAGCGUGGGUAGCAAACA
rnacentral:rRNA from 1 species